CUGAUCGUAUUGAUCAUUUUAGUGUUGUUUUCCUGUAGCCUUUCCAUCGUAGGCUCUACAUGUGCGCCACCACUUGGUUGAGCAAGUUGUCUUUUGAACUUUGUAGACACCACAUGUCAGUUGUAUAGGUUCAAAGGAUUUGAAUUUUAGAGUCCCAUCACCCCAUUGAACUUGGAAUCUAAUCCUAAAUUUGGUUAAAAUUUAUGUGCCAAUAGUUAUGAUUUUAGUACAAUGGUUUUUUCCACAAGAUUGUUUUAAGUGUUGUCAGUUUCAUAACCCAUGCAUUGUGCAGCCAUUCUUGUUGCCCAUUGGUUGAUUAAUGUUUUAGUCUACUUAACUGCACGGUUUUUUGAAUUAGUUCAUAAGACUAUGUUUUGAGUGAGUUUGGUUCAUUAUUAGGAUGACUUGUCAACUUGUGAGUCACAAUGCUGAGUGCUUUACAAAAUCUUUCUAUCUUGUCCUCUUCCAAACUAAAAUUGAUUUUACCGUGCUAUUUUGAAGAUAUCUAUGUGUUAACAACUAAACAAAAGUUUAUUAAAUAGGGUAAGCAACUAUAAUAUCACUGUGCACUGGUACUAAUUCAGUUAUUUGGGCUGUAGCGAUGCAUGCUUUUUGUAUUAUUUUAGAAUAAAGAUGUGUGACUAAUAAAUACCCAUCUGUCAUGUGGGACAAUGGAUUGGAGCCAUAUGCAUAUGGUUCAAGUUGUGGCUACGAGGGAAGGCAUGAUGGUCUACAAUUUACAGUAGAUAUUGACUUUAAUAGGGCAGUUUUGCUCAGUCAAAGUCAUCGAUUCCAAGCACUGUUCCUUCUUGGAAGAUUCCUUGAUAUGGGUCCCUGGGCUGUGAAUCUGAUCUUGUCAGUUGGAAAUUUUCCAUGUGUGCUCAAGUUGCUUAAAACACCAGCAGCAGACCUGAGACAAAGUCUUGUAUUCAUAUGGACAAAGAUCCUUGCAUUUGAUAAGUCAUGUCAGGUUGAUUUGGUAAAGGAUGGAGGGCACUUUUAUUUCAUCAAAUUUCUUGAUAGCAUUGAUGCAUGUCCUAAACAGCGAGCAAUGACUACAUUUGUUUUGACUGUCAUUGUGGAUGGGCAUAGACAGGGACAUGAAGCUUGUGUUAAUACUGAUCUUAUACACCUGUGCUUGAGGUAUCUUCAACCAAAUGAUGUCCAAACUGAGCCUCUUCUUCUUCAGUGGCUUUGCCUCUGUCUAGAAAAGCUCUGUGAGGAUUGUCCUAAGGCGCAGGUUAUAGCUUUGCGAGCAGAUGCACUGAAGUUACAUGCACUAUUGUCGGAUCCCCAACCUGAGGUUAGGGCUUCUGCUACUUUUGCAUUAAGCAACCUACUUGAAAGUGGAUCUGACUCAUGUGAAGAUUGGAGUGAAAUUAGUGAAGAAAUUCAGGACAACAAGAAGAUGAAGGAUGAAAUUAGUCUAGUUCAGAGGCUACACAUGCUAGAAAUAGCAGUUUUAGAGACUCAAACUUGUUAUGCUGAAGAACUUUGCUGCUGCAAGUAUGGCCCCUUUGGAUUUGGGUGACAGAAUGGGUGAAAUGGGGUGUCACCUCACUGGAUGAUUCCACAUGCUGCAUUCUGUUAGAGCUUUUUUUCCCAAUCCCUUUAUUUAUGCGCAUGAGAGCAUGUGUGUGAGAGUGAUAGAGCAUUCUACAACUUACAGAAAUAUCAUGAAAUAUAAUGAUAUUUUGCUGCAAAAAUAUGCUUGUUUCAUAUUCUUGUGUUUGAGUUUUAACUAUUUUAUGUUCCUCCAUUUCAACUUGGUAGAUAUUAAUGCAACAGUUUAUUUAUUUACGAAAUGAAAAAAUAAGCUUUGUGAUUCAUCUAUUUGCUAACUUUAUUUUCCAUUUAUGGAAAUUGUAGAGAAACUUCAUAAAAUUUUUGAAACGUAAUAAAAUUUCUUGGUCUCUUAAAAUUAUGAAUUAAUAGUGGAUUGACCAUAGGUUGCUCAUUGUUGACUAUUGCAUGUACAAACUUCCAUGCUUCUUGUUACUAUUUUGCAUUUAUUUGUUUAAUUCUUGAUCUUGUUGGCCAAUUUGCCACUUUGAGAAAAUGAAUGACAUUUUUUUUUUAAUCAUUGGUGGCUUAUCAUUGUAGUACAUUAUGACGGUGGAGAAAAGGUCAACCCAUUGAGUCUUGGGAGGCUCAUAAGGCAGCCAUUCAAGCUGUUAUAAAGUUAGUUUCAGGCGAGCUUGUUACAGGUAUAGUUAAUUCAAAUACAAUGAGGCACGGCAAUUCAAUGGUGUGACUGUGAAGGCAUAUUCCUCUUCUUCUCAUAUACUCUUUCCUCUUAUCCAGCCUUCAAGUUCCUAAUUUUCUUUCUUAAUCAUUAUCUCAACCAUCAAAUUGCUUUAGGUAUAAUUCCAUUUUAUUGACUAUGUUUUAUGGUAAUUGCGGUUCAAGUGACACAACUCUAAAGCUUUGGAAAGGAAGGACAUGUGUGCAUACUUUUGUUGGGCAUACAGACAAGAAAUGCAAAAAGGUUAGUUGCUCCAGCUAUUGCUGCUGGUUUAGGUGCCUUAACACAUACAUUGGGUACCCUCGUCCCUGUGAUAGGAGCAAGUGGAUUUGCUACAGUUGCAGUUGCAAUUGCUAAAGAAAUUAUUGUCGGUAGUUUUAGAUAAUCUCUUAAUAGUUAUCGCUAUGUUUAGAAAGUUAGAUAUGCAUAGCUUUGGAUAGUUUAAACUUUUUGUACAAUUUAGAACUUAAAAGUUAUAGUUUUCGAAUGUUUGGAA